AAGUCGUAACAAGGUUUCCGUAGGUGAACCUGCGGAAGGAUCAUUAACACGUGUUACCCACGUAUUAUCAACCCACCGAGAAUUUGUUUGAAACCCUAUUGUUGGAGGCAGGUAGACGAAGUGAGGGAAUGCUAUGGGCCGCCCGUUCGAAAGAUGUGAGAGUACGCCCUAACUCAUAAGUCGUUCUUAGAUCCGCCCUGGAGCUUGCGCCGACUAAUAGAUGAUGAGUAGCGACUGCUUAUUAAGCCUGUAGCGUAGCUUGCAGAUCGACUAUGACCUUAUUAACCCAACCCUUUACUAUUAUUUACUGAUUUUGUACGUUUAUAUGAAUUCCUGACUUCGGUCGGUUGUAGUUUAUAUAGAUGUCGCAUAUUACUAAUACGAAACAACUCUUAGCAACGGAUAUCUUGGUUCUC
rnacentral:misc_RNA from 1 species